UGCAGGUGUGUGAGAGGUGAAGCUUUGGGCCUGGUAUUGGUGCCAGCCCAGCUUCCCAGCUCCAUGGACGCUCCACCCUUGUUGCCUCUCAUACUGAAGACACACCUGGAGACUAUUGUCUCAUUCAGAGCUGAUAUGAGCAGGGGGCGCUCAGUGGCUCACUCUUGAUGCACUUUAUCCAGGUUGGCAGGAACAGGUUAGUCUCCUGAAAGACACUUUAAGUAACCUGUCACCUGGAGCCUGGAUCAUCUGUUUGAAGGAGACUUUUGUGCUGGACUUCCCCACAGGGAAGAUUUGGAAUUCCACUGAGGUGAGUGUCUGGUGUUGAACUGUCUGAGGAGGGAGCAUCAAGUGUGGCACAUCCUCAAGUGUCUUUAAGAUCAAGGGAUAAACUCAGACUGAAGCUCCUGGCCCUGGAAAACACUGGAUAACAGUAUUGUUCUCACUGGAAACUCACCGUCAGGAAUCAAAGAAGGCGGACAGCUCCCAAGAAGCCAUGCGGCAUGCUGUGCAACAGCCAGCAGAGCUCUCACCCUCACCAAGGCACUGCAGCAGCCCCAUCAGCACAAGGCCUGGGUUUUGCUCUUCAGACAUCUUGUGCGUCUCUGCAUUCCAUAUGGAUGGUGGGAAAACUGCAGUGUCUGCAAACCUGGAUGUAUUUCCUGUGGCUGCUGUUUCCUUUAUUAUGGCACAAACUGCCGUAAUCCGAGAGUAAGACUGAGGAUUGCAUCGUACCAUUAUCUUUAUGUGCCCAUGUACACUCUGCUGGACCCUGGGUGUAUAACCUUCUACACGUGUCCUUUGAAAUUGAGUGUCCCCAUUGUCAAAGAAAACAACUGUCCUGACAAAUAUUGAUGCAUGAGCUGGGAAGUCCACAUCGUGAACCUGAACAAUUACACCACCCUGAGACUCAGUGAAUGCUGUUUCCUUGGAUGUGGCCCACCCUACAGUGUCACUGAGAAGAAAAUGACAAAGCACCAUGUCACAGAGGAAUGCCAGGCAUGUUGUAGCCAGUCACCCAGGUCACACUCCUGACCGCAGGCCAGUUUUAUGGUUUUGCUGACAGCUGCUUUUGAUAGUGUAAUUGUGACAAUGAUCUCACUCUCCCUCUCUCUCUCGCUCUUCCUCUGUCUCGAGGAGCUCUGCGCUCAGCCUUCCUCCCAGCGGGGGAGGUGGGAGAGCACAUUUCAUUAGCUUUCAAUUCAUAGUGAAUUUAUUAAUCCCAUGCUGGUUCUGCAGGGUGGAAGGCUGCCUAAGAAGGGGGGAAAUAUCUUCGAUAUAGACACCUUUUUCCUCCAUCUGCUUACAAUGUGUGUGCAAAAGUGUAUGAAAGAGGGAUGGGAAGAGGGAGGUGGAGGGGAUGGGUGUGGGGGGCAAAGGAACCAAGAAGGCGGGAAGGGGAGAGGGGAGAAUAACAACGACGGGCUAACAACAAGGGCUUGUGAAAAGACUGCAGCAGGAAAAAGUGUGUCAGAUCAUUUACCAGCGGGGAUGCGCGACUUCGUCUUUUUAAAGGCAGCAGCCCUGCAGAAAGGCUCUUGUCUAGUCAGCACUGCAACAAAGGCACAGCCAUGGCUCUAUUUGAGCGCCUGGAAUGUUCCUGUGUGCACGGGGCCAGCACCGAAUAGUGAACCCUCGGCUCCAUCAAGGGAGAGAGCGCAGAGUUCACCUCGGCCAGACCUCGGGCCCCAGAUAGAGAAGCAAAGCUGUGUUGCAACAACGGGGCUGACAAGCACUUCACACUAUUUAACGACAGAAGUGAUUCAACAAAGAGCAGCUCUCUGCCUAACUGCCUCUGAAUAACACUGUUUGACAUUGUUCUGAAGAGACUGAGACAGAGAGCGUUGUAGCGCACUGGCCCUGUACCAAAGCAGGUUGUAUAGAGUUGAAUGUGAGCUGGUGUCAGAUUAAAAAAAAAAAGUUUA